GACGAACGCUGGCGGCGUGCCUAAUACAUGCAAGUUGAGCGCUGAAGGUUGGUACUUGUACCAACUGGAUGAGCAGCGAACGGGUGAGUAACGCGUGGGGAAUCUGCCUUUGAGCGGGGGACAACAUUUGGAAACGAAUGCUAAUACCGCAUAAAAACUUUAAACACAAGUUUUAAGUUUGAAAGAUGCAAUUGCAUCACUCAAAGAUGAUCUCGCGUUGUAUUAGCUAGUUGGUGAGGUAAAGGCUCACCAAGGCGAUGAUACGUAGCCGACCUGAGAGGGUGAUCGGCCAAAUUGGGACUGAGACACGGCCCAAACUCCUACGGGAGGCAGCAGUAGGGAAUCUUCGGCAAUGGACGAAAGUCUGACCGAGCAACGCCGCGUGAGGGAAGAAGGGUUUCGGAUCGUAAAACUCUGUUGGUAGAGAAGAACGUUGGUGGGAGUGGAAAGCUCAUCAAGUGACGGUAACUACCCAGAAAGGGACGGCUAACUACGUG
rnacentral:rRNA from 1 species